UUCAUUGACAUAAGAUGCCCUUUAUUAAACAUACUCUGGAAAUCCAAAACAUGCUCAAAGCAGAGUUCAGAAGCAGCAAUCUGAUUUCUUUCCCCAAAUCCCUGACAGCUGGAUCAGGGGAACAAGGGCCUGUUGCCUUUCACCAGCAGCUCCUGCCUGCCCCUUGUCCCUUCUGGGUGGCUUGAGGACAGCACUGGUGUCACCUGCACCCAAAUCCCACCUCUCCAGUGCCACCAGUGGAGGACGCUCAUUUCUUUGCUCACUUCUCCUGGCUCCCCUCCACCACCAUGUGCAUGCCACCAGCUGUGGGAUGGGACAUGGGACAGCCACCCUGGGAGCUAACUUGGGGACGCGCAGCUCAGAGCAGCCAGAAAACCCUCCAGGACACCUCCAGGGACCAUCCUGAACAAGAACCUGACCUGCCAGCAGCCACAAGCACCGCCACAGCCCUACACCAUGGUGCCAGGCCUGGAGAGCUCUUCUUUUCCCCUUUGGAGCCACAAGGAAGAUUGGGCUUUGGUAGCUGAGCCACCCCUGGAGCAUCAGCCUGGUUUUCCCAUGCUGGGGGUUAGGGAAGAGCUGGCCCCCCACAGCCCCCCUGGUUUUCUCAGCUCAGCAUGGCAGUGAACCCCCAAAGCUCUCCCUGUGCCCAGCACAGUGGUGCUGGCGCCUGGGUCCAGCACACCCAAACCCCACAGGUUGCCCCACCAUGGCACUGGGCAGUGUGUCCCCACGGGCCACACAGCAUGUCCCCAAAUGGGGUGCAAGGCUCGUCCCCACCGCAGCUCCCCAAUGGCAGCAGCUCCCAUCCCACUGGUGGAGAUGUCACCCACCCAUGAAGCAUCCAGCCCUGGGUUUCCAGGGAGGAAUCUGGGAGCUGUUUUGCUUACAGGAGACAUGGUGGGGUGCCAGAACAGAGGAGGGUGGCCAACACUGACCCCACCUCCAGCAGGACCCACACUAGGACCAUGAAGUGAGCAGCAAACGCCUCCCACACCCAAAAAGGGCUUUAUCUCCCUUUAGGAGCCAUGGCCAUCAGCACGGCCUGUGCUCCACCACGGGGACAGUGGUGGGGACCCGCGCCCUGCAUGCUGGGGGAUGUUGCUUUUGCUGGAUGAACAUCUCUGUCCUAAGGGAGCUCUGAAAUGCAGCUUCCUUCUGCAAAGAGGAGGUGGCUUUGCUGUCACAUCUGUCUGAGAAAACCAGGUGGGGAAAAGCGGGGCUCAACCUCCCACCCUGGGCUCACUCAAACACCUCCAGAGCUUGCUGGAUUGGGAUGUUGCGUCUGAUGCUCCUCAGAGUGGCUUCUGCCUGUCCUUGGUGCUCUCUGGAGUGGAGCCUGACCUCUGCCAAUGGCCCCAUCAGGUCCCCGAGCUCUGUGGCUGCGUCCCUACCCCACUGCUGUCCCUGCAUUCCUGUCCCCUGGAGCAAAACCCGCUUAUACUGUGAGGCCAGUGCUGGCCAGAGGGAUGGGGCUGGAGAAGUGGGGAUGGAGGGAUGGGGGAGCAGCUCCCACACCCUCAUCCACCCCCUGCUACAAAGUGCGAUGGAGGGGGCAGGACGGGGGGUGACACGUUUGGCACUGUUCCAGAGAGAGGGCACAGCCCCAGCCCCGAGCCCCCAGCGGGGUGGAAGACAGUGAGGUUAGACUAGUCAUGGCCCUGGGGCUGGGGACCAGGGUGAAGGGUGGGGGGUGUCCCAGGUCUCCUGGCCACCCUGGCCACCCCUCUCCAUCUGCUGGGGAAAAGAGACCUCUCGGGCCAGGCCCAAGAGCCCACGUGCUGCCCAGGGUGGAGAGCAGAGGGACGGGGAGCUACAGGGGCACCAUCACCCCCAGCGCAUUAAUGGGGACAUCCCAUAGCGUGGCAGGGGCAGGGGUCAGCGAACCUGGGGGGGUGCCAGCCCCCCAUGAAGGUCACUGGCUUGUGUACUGAGGAUGCCAAUGCCAACACUCAUCCCUAACCCGCACCCCUGGGCAUCGUCCCCCUCUGGCAGCAUCCCAGGACGCCCUCUGUGGGGUGACCCCAU
rnacentral:lncRNA from 1 species